ACCGCACAAGCGGUGGAUGAUGUGGUUUAAUUCGAUGCAACGCGAAAACCUUACCCACCUUUGACAUGGCAGGAAUCCUAAGAGAUUUGGAGUGCUCGAAAGAGAACCUGCACACAGGUGCUGCAUGGCUGUCGUCAGCUCGUGUCGUGAGAUGUUGGGUUAAGUCCCGCAACGAGCGCAACCCUUGCCAUUAGUUGCUACGAAAGGGCACUCUAAUGGGACUGCCGGUGACAAACCGGAGGAAGGUGGGGAUGACGUCAAGUCCUCAUGGCCCUUAUAGGUGGGGCUACACACGUCAUACAAUGGCCGGUACAGAGGGUAGCCAACCCGCGAGGGGGAGCCAAUCCCACAAAGCCGGUCGUAGUCCGGAUCGCAGUCUGCAACUCGACUGCGUGAAGUCGGAAUCGCUAGUAAUCGCGGAUCAGCAUGUCGCGGUGAAUACGUUCCCGGGUCUU
rnacentral:rRNA from 1 species